UACGGGAGGCAGCAGUAGGGAAUUUUCGGCAAUGGGGGAAACCCUGACCGAGCAACGCCGCGUGAAGGAAGAAGUAAUUCGUUAUGUAAACUUCUGUCAUAGAGGAAGAACGGUGCGUGUAGGGAAUGACAUGCAAGUGACGGUACUNUAUAAGAAAGCCACGGCUAACUACGUGCCAGCAGCCGCGGUAAUACGUAGGUGGCGAGCGUUAUCCGGAAUUAUUGGGCGUAAAGAGGGAGCAGGCGGCACUAAGGGUCUGUGGUGAAAGAUCGAAGCUUAACUUCGGUAAGCCAUGGAAACCGUAGAGCUAGAGUGUGUGAGAGGAUCGUGGAAUUCCAUGUGUAGCGGUGAAAUGNGUAGAUAUAUGGAGGAACACCAGUGGCGAAGGCGACGAUCUGGCGCAUAACUGACGCUCAGUCCNGAAAGCGUGGGGAGCAAAUAGGAUUAGAUACCNUAGUAGU
rnacentral:rRNA from 1 species